GACGAACCGUGCUAACGUUGUUCGGAAUCACUGGGCUUAAAGGGCGCGUAGGCGGGCCGGCAAGUCAGGGGUGAAAGCCCGCGGCUCAACCGCGGGAAGCGCCUCUGAUACUGCCGGCCUCGAGGGGGGUAGGGGAGACGUGGAAUUCCUGGUGUAGCGGUGAAAUGCGCAGAUAUCAGGAGGAAUACCGGUGGCGAAGGCGGGUCUCUGGGCCGAUGAUUGACGCUGGAGGAGCGAAAGCGUGGGGAGCGAACAGG
rnacentral:rRNA from 1 species